rnacentral:lncRNA from 1 species
UAUCAAAUUUUUCACCAGGCCCGGUCGUCCUGCCAAAUUUCAUGAGUUUUCGCCAGUGGGAAGUGGGCCAUUUUCCAGUUCAAAGGGGAGGAAAAAUAAUAAUAACUAGGGCCCCGUUGGGGCACUGGCGGGCCCGAGCCGUGUCACGCCGCCCCCAGCGCGACCGCCUCCCCCACCCGAUCGCGUCACACUCAAGGUCCAAAGAUGGUGUGUGCACUUGUUUGUGGUCAUUUACCAUUGUAAUGAACGGGAGGCGCAGUUUCUACCAAAACGCUCGCUGCAGAAAAACUCCAUGUCCUAUUUGAAAAAAGUCUGGACCAUGAGUGAGGGCACAAACACAGCUAAGAUAUAUCCAAAUGGCAAGUUGCUCCUCCUUUCGCUUUUGCCGAGAGAGCAGUGCGUUUGAGCCAUUGAAUGAUGAACAGGAAAAACUUGACUUUAUUCUCCUGCCAUGGGGGGGCGCUCUUUUAAAGAGAAAAAACUCCUUCACAAAUGUGUUGAUGGCUGGACAUUGCAUCAUCCUAGAAAACAUGGAGGCCAGUGAGGACAAAAAUAAAAAGUUAUAAGACUUUUAAAUAUGUGGAUUUUAGGGUUAUCUUUGGCGCCCCCUAGAACCUAAACCGUGGGGUGCAGCGUCAUGAUUUGAAUAACUUUUAAUGGCCAUGGGGUGUAGAUUGGCCUGAGCAAAUGUGGUGCCGGUGGAACGAAAGCCUUCGGAGGAAUUAGCGAAAUUCCAAUGUGUGCGAAUCUGCAAAAAAUGCGAAAUAACCCUUCAACCGUACAUUUUACAGAUACGUGGCCAUUGACUUUUUCGAAGAUCUUAUUGAAAUACACGUGUAUGUAAAAUUUUGUGUCAAUACGACAAAACAUACAGGCGUAGCACUCAACAAUGUGUAUUUUCACCUUAGUGGACAAGAAAAAAUUGACUUUUUUCUCCUGCCAUGGGGGGGCGCUCUUUUGCCGAGUAAAAAUUCCUUCACAAAUGUGUUGAUGGCUGGACAUUGCAUCAUCCUAGAAAACUUGGAGGCCAGUGGGGACAAAAAUAAAAAGUUAUAAGACUUUUAAAUAUGUGGAUUUUACGGUUAUCUUUGGCUCCCCCUAGAACCUAAACCGUGGGGUGCAGCGUCAUGAUUUGAAUAACUUUUAAUGGCCAUGGGGUGUAGAUUGGCCUGAGCAAAUGUGGUGCCGGUGGAACGAAAGCCUUCGGAGGAGUUAGCGAAAUUCCAAUGUGUGCGGAUCGGCAAAAAAUGCGGAAUAACCCUUUAACCGUACAUUUGACAGAUACGCGCGCGUUGACUUUUUCGUAGAUCUUAUUGAGAUACAUGUGUGUGUCAAUUUUUGUGUCAUUUUGCCAAAGCGUACAGGUGUUACACUCAACAAUGUGUAUUUUCACCUUAGGGGACAAGAAAAAAUGGACUUUUUUCUCCUGCCAUGGGGGGGCGCUCUUUUGGGGAGUAAAAAUUCCUUCACAAAUGUGUUGAUGGCUGGACAUUGCAUCAUCCUAGAAAACUUGGAGGCCAGUGAGGGCAAAAAUAAAAAGUUAUAAGACUUUUAAAUAUGUGGAUCUUAGGGUUAUCUUUGGCGCCCCCUAGAACCUAAACCGUGGGGUGCAGCGUCAUGAUUUGAAUAACUUUUAAUGGCCAUGGGGUGUAGAUUGGCCUGAGCAAAUGUGGUGCCGGUGGAACGAAAGCCUUCGGAGGAGUUAGCGAAAUUCCAAUGUGUGCGGAUCGGCAAAAAAUGCGAAAUAACCCUUUAACCGUACAUUUGACAGAUACGCCCGCACUGACUUUUUUGUAGAUCUUAUUGAGAUACAUGUGUGUGUCAAUUUUUGUGUCAUUUUGACAAAGCGUACAGGCGUGACAGUCAAUAGUGUGAAUUUUCACCUUAGGGGGCGCUAUGGAGCCAUUUUGCAUUUUCUUGUUUGGGCGACUUCGGAAUAUCAAAUUUUUCACCAGGCCCGGUCGUCCUGCCAAAUUUCAUGAGUUUUCGCCAGUGGGAAGUGGGCCAUUUUCCAGUUCAAAGGGGAGGAAAAAUAACUAGGGCCCCGUUGGGGCACUGGCGGGCCCGAGCCGUGUCGCGCCCCCCCCCCCAACGCGCUGCCUCCCCGUCCCAUUCGCGUCCUCUGGCCAUCGCCCUCUCUGGUAACGCCCAUCACUACAAAGACCCUUUUCCUUCAUCGGCGUUUGCUGUUCUUCCUGCCAGUGCGUGUUGCUUUCACUUACACUUGCCACAGCCAGCCUCGUGAGUGCCUAGCCUAUUGGAUAUCACUGUCACCUACACAGGACAGUCAUUACCUUUCUAUUAAUACUUUGUUUUUUAAUUUCACAUUAAUUUCCAUAUUGUAUAAACGACUGGAAAAAACUUGAGCCCCUGCCCCUGUAUAAUCAUGUACACGUCCCUGUUCUAGCUCCAAGGUGAAUCUUCACUGCUCAUGUUCUCCUCAGAAGCAGUCACCUCACUCCCCUCAGGUUACUGUACACAUGCACCAACUGCCUGCUUCAGGUUUGGAUGGAGCUUCAUGGUUGUCUUUUGGAGAAAUGAGCAGUCAAGUUGUGUUUGAAAUUUGAUUUUUUUUCAGGGGCAAAAGGAAGCCUCUGCAUUCUUGUCAAAUAUGUAAAUAGCAUGUUUUUGCAGGUGCUAAAAACCAGACUCUGAGUGUGCGUGUGUGUGUGUGUCUGUGUGUGUGUGUGUGUGUGUGUGUGUGUGUGUGCGUUCAAGUCACAUGACAUAUUUAACCGGAUGUAGCUGCAAGACGGUGUGUGUGUGCGUGUGUGUGUGUGUCUGUGUGUGUGUGUGUGUGUGUGUGUGUGUGUGUGCGUUCAAGUCACAUGACAUAUUUAACCGGAUGUAGCUGCAAGACGGAGCCUCGUUGACUCUCCGUUUCAACUUAUCUCAAAAGUGAGGACCUCAACCUAUAUACCAGUUUUUAAAUUGUGUUGAUAGGCCAAAUAAAACCAGAGUUAUGAUAAAUUAUGUCCGCGAUACUUGUUUUCUGCUUAUUUUGAUCACGUUCGGCGCUCGAUCGCGCUGUAUGAGACAGGAAAACAUAGCAUGCAGACAUUAGCGACAGGUCUUACAGGCGGAAAAGGCUUGCCAAAGGAAAAGAAAAAAACACACCACAACAUCUCUCCUAUUGGUGGAAAACUUCACCACAACAACCAAUCCAAAAUUAUAUGGUGACUGAUUGACAAGGGGCGGGCGCUUACGUUCUUCCUGCAAUAUGAGAAGGGAGGGAGGGACUCUCAGCAGGGAUGCAGUCUGGGACACGUAGUUGCAAACCUAGCGACUUUGUUGUUAGAUUCAAUGACUUUUCAGACCCCCUAACGACUUUUUUUUUAGAAAGAAAGUGACUUUUAUCGACUUCUGGAGUUUAGAGACUCUGACAUGAAGCAGGCUUUCCUUACUGAGGAGUUAGCAACGCUGCUAAGGGUGCAGAGCCACACAUGCGCUCCGAGCUCUGCAUGGGAGACUGAAGCUGACAGAGCUGCAGCAGUUAGCAGGUUUCACCCUCAGAGACCACCAGGGGUUCAUGUUGAGGCAUUUUCAGUUUUUUUUUUUUUUUUUUGCCACAGACACUGUCAGCACAAUCUGCAGUUACACUAACAAAAAUGCUGCAAAAAACAAAGAAUUAUGGAAAAAUUACACAUGGACUAACAUAGAGGAGGAUCUACACAAGUUUUUUACAUCAUGUUUUACAUCAUGCAUCAUUUACAUCAUGUUUUUUUGUAGUGGCAUAAAUAAAAAGUGACAUUUGUGAGACUAUACAGUGUUUUGUAAAUAAUUUUACAAAGAACGCCUGGGCCAUUGCCUGCAUUUUGAUGUCAAUAGAGGUAAAUUACUAUGUUCUUUGUUAAAAAUUUGCAUAUGUUUUGAAGUUUACAAUUUUUAUUUGAAGUUUAAGUUUUAAAAACAGUUCAUCACACAUAUUUGUGGUUUUCACAGUAAAAACGUUACUUUUUUCCACUCGGAUUUUAUGUUUUGUGUGUGAAUUUGGGUCCAAUGUGUAAAUAUAGUAUGUCAAAAUGAUAAAAUAACUGUAAAUUGACACAGGUGAGGUUGUGCUGAAAAAAAUGAUACCAGGCAAGGCAAGGUAAAAAUUUUGUAAGAGGAAAUAUAAAGGUAAAAUCUAAAGUAGUCAAAAACGGCCAAUAGUGACUCACAGACUCCACAGACAAGUCCCUUUGGCGCCACUCAGUGGGCAAAACUACUUUGUCUACUGUAAUGUAUAUUUGGGUCAUCUUUGGCGCCCCCUAAAACGUAAACCGUGGGGUGCAGCGUCAUGAUUUUUACAACUUUGAAUGGCCAUGGAGUGUAGAUUGGCCUGAGCAAAUUUGGUGUCAGUGGGACGAAAGCCUUAGGAGGAGUUAGCGAAAUUCCAAUGUGUGCGAAUCGGCAAAAAAUGCAAAAUAGCCCUUUUACCGUACAUUAUACAGAUACGCGCUCUUUGACUUUUUCGUAGAUCUAAUUGAGAUACACAUGAUUGUCAAUUUUUGUGUCAUUUUGCCAAAGCGUACAGGCGUGACAGUCAACAAUGUGUAUUUUCACCUUAGGGGACAAGAAAAAAUGGACUUUUUUCUCCUGCCAUGGGGGGGCGCUCUUUUAGGGAGUAAAAAUUCCUUCACAAAUGUGUUGAUGGCUGGACAUUGCAUCAUCCUAGAAAACUUGGAGGCCAGUGAGGACAAAAAUAAAAAGUUAUAAGACUUUUAAAAAUGUGGAUUUUUGGGUUAUCUUUGGCGCCCCCUAGAACGUAAACCGUGGGAUGCAGCGUCAUGAUUUGAAUAACUUUUAAUGGCCAUGGGGUGUAAUUUGGCCUGAGCAAAUGUGGUGCCGGUGGAACGAAAGCCUUCGGAGGAGUUAGCGAAAUUCCAAUGUGUGCGAAUCGGCAAAAAAUGCGGAAUAACCCUUUAACCGUACAUUAGACAGAUACGCGCGCAUUGACUUUUUUGUAGAUCUUAUUGAGAUACAUGUGUGUGUCAAUUUUUGUGUCAUUUUGACAAAGCGUACAGGCGUGACACUCAACAAUGUGUAUUUUCACCUUAGGGGACAAGAAAAAAUGGACUUUUUUCUCCUGCCAUGGGGGGGCGCUCUUUUGGGGAGUAAAAAUUCCUUCACAAAUGUGUUGAUGGCUGGACAUUGCAUCAUCCUAGAAAACUUGGAGGCCAGUGAGGGCAAAAAUAAAAAGUUAUAAGACUUUUAAAAAUGUGGAUUUUAGGGUUAUCUUUGGCGCCCCCUAGAACCUAAACCGUGGGGUGCAGCGUCAUGAUUUGAAUAACUUUUAAUGGCCAUGGGGUGUAGAUUGGCCUGAGCAAAUGUGGUGCCGGUGGAACGAAAGCCUUCGGAGGAGUUAGCGAAAUUCCAAUGUGUGCGGAUCGGCAAAAAAUGCAAAAUAACCCUUUAACCGUACAUUUGACAGAUACGCCCGCACUGACUUUUUUGUAGAUCUUAUUGAGAUACAUGUGUGUGUCAAUUUUUGUGUCAUUUUGACAAAGCGUACAGGCGUGACAGUCAAUAGUGUGAAUUUUCACCUUAGGGGGCGCUAUGGAGCCAUUUUGCAUUUUCUUGUUUGGGCGACUUCGGAAUAUCAAAUUUUUCACCAGGCCCGGUCGUCCUGCCAAAUUUCCUGAGUUUUCGCCAGUGGGAAGUGGGCCAUUUUCCAGUUCAAAGGGGAGGAAAAAGAAAAAAGAAACAAAGAAAAACCACUUGGGGAAUAAUAGGGCUCUCGCAGCUGCUUAGCAGCUACGCUCGGGCCCUAAUAACUAGGACCCCGUUGGGGCACUGGCGGGCCCGAGCCGUGUCGCGUCCCCCCCCCCCCCCCCCCCCAACGUGCUGCCUCCCCGUCCCAUUUGUGUCCUCUGGCCAUCGCCCUCUCUGGUAACGCCCAUCACUGCAAAGACCCUUUUCCUUCAUCGGCGUUUGCUGUUCUUCCUGCCAGUGCGUGUUGCUUUCACUUACACUUGCCACAGCCAGCCUCGUGAGUGCCUAGCCUAUUGGAUAUCACUGUCACCUACACAGGACAGUCAUUACCUUUCUAUUAAUACUUUGUGUUUUAAUUUCACAUUAAUUUCCAUAUUGUAUAAACGACUGGAAAAAACUUGAGCCCCUGCCCCUGUAUAAUCAUGUGCAUGUCUCUGUUCUAGCUCCAAGGUGAAUCUUCACUGCUCAUGUUCUCCUCAGAAGCACUCACCUCACUCCCCUCAGGUUACUGUACACAUGCACCAACUGCCUGCUUCAGGUUUGGAUGGAGCUUCAUGGUUGUCUUUUGGAGAAAUGACCAGUCAAGUUGUGUUUGAAAUUUGAUUUUUUUCAGGGGCAAAAGGAGCCUCUGCAUUCUUGUCAAAUAUGUAAAUAGCAUGUUUUUGCAGGUGCUAAAAACCAGACUCUGAGUGUGUGUGUGUGUGUGUGUGUGUGUGUGUGUGUGUGUGUGUGUGUGUGUGCGUGCGUGUGCGUGUGUGUGUGUCUGUGUGUGCGUUCAAGUCACAUGACAUAUUUAACCGGAUGUAGCUGCAAGACGGAGCCUCGUUGACUCUCCGUUUCAACUUAUCUCAAAAGUGAGGACCUCAACCUAUAUACCAGUUUUUAAAUUGUGUUGAUAGGCCAAAUAAAACCAGAGUUAUGAUAAAUUAUGUCCGCGAUAUUUUUUUUCUGCUUAUUUUGAUCACGUUCGGCGCUCGAUCGCGCUGUAUGAGACAGGAAAACAUAGCAUGCAGACAUUAGCGACAGUUCUUACAGGCGGAAAAGGCUUGCCAAAAGAAAAAAAAAACACACCACAACAUCUCUCCUAUUGGUGGAAAACUUCACCACAACAACCAAUCCAAAAUUAUAUGGUGACUGAUUGACAAGGGGGGCGCUUACGUUCUUCCUGCAACAUGAGAAGGGAGGGAGGGACUCUCAGCAGGGAUGCAGUCUGGGACACGUAGUUGCAAACCUAGCGACUUUGUUGUUAGAUUCAAUGACUUUUCAGACCCCCUAACGACUUUUUUUUAGAAAGAAAGGGACUUUUAUCGACUUCUUCUGGAGUUUAGAGACUCUGACAUGAAGCAGGCUUUCCAUACUGAGGAGUUAGCAACGCUGCUAAGGGUGCAGAGCCACACAUGCGCUCAGAGCUCUGCAUGGGAGACUGAAGCUGACAGAGCUGCAGCAGUUAGCAGGUUUCACCCUCAGAGACCACCACGGGUUCAUGUUGAGGCAUUAAAAAUUUUUUUUUUUUUGUGCCAUAGACACUGUCAGCACAAUCUGCAGUUACACUAACAAAAAUGCUGCAAAAAACAAAGAAUUAUGGAAAAAUUACACAUGGACUGACAUAGAGGAGGAUCUACACAAGUUUUUUACAUCAUGUUUUACAUCAUGCAUCAUUUACAUCAUGUUUUUUUGUAGUGGCAUAAAUAAAAAGUGACAUUUGUGAGACUAUACAGUGUUUUGUAAAUAAUUUUACAAAGAACGCCUGGGCCAUUGCCUGCAUUUUGAUGUAAAUAGAGGUAAAUUACUAUGUUCUUUGUUAAAAAUUUGCAUAUGUUUUGAAGUUUACAAUUUUUAUUUGAAGUUUAAGUUUUAAAAACAGUUCAUCACACAUAUUUGUGGUUUAAUUUCACAUUAAUUUCCAUAUUGUAUAAAUGACUGGAAAAAACUUGAGCCCCUGCCCCUGUAUAAUCAUGUGCACGUCCCUGUUCUAGCUCCAAGGUGAAUCUUCACUGCUCAUGUUCUCCUCAGAAAUAGUCACCUCACUCCCCUCAGGUUACUGUACACAUGCACCAACUAUCUGCUUCAGGUUUAAAAUGGAGCUUCAUGGUUGUCUUUUGGAGAAAUGAACAGUCAAGUUGUGUUUGAAAUUUGAUUUUUUUCAGGGGCAAAAGGAGCCUCUGCAUUCUUGUCAAAUAUGUAAACAGCAUGUUUUUGCAGGUGCUAAAAACCAGACUCUGAGUGUGGGUGUGUGUCUGUGUGUGUGUGUGUGUGUGUGUGUGUGUGUGUGUGUGUGUGUAUGUUGGCGUGUGUGUAUAUGUGUGUGUAUCCUGCAGUACUCUGUACUCCUGCAGUGGCCAAAAAGACUUUUAAGAAUGUGGAUUUUUGGGUCAUCUUUGGCGCCCCCUAGAACUGCAGUACUCUGUACUCCUGCAGUGGCCAAAAUGACUUUUAAGAAUGUGGAUUUUUGGGUCAUCUUUGGCGCCCCCUAGAACGUAAACCGUGGGGUGCAGCGUCAUGAUUUUUACAACUUUGAAUGGGCAUGGGGUGUAGAUUGCCCUGAGCAAAUUUGGUAUCGGUGGGACGAAAGCCUUAGGAGGAGAUAGCCACAUUCCAAUGUGUGCGAAUCGGCAAAAAAUGCAAAAUAGCCCUUUAACCGUACAUUAUACAGAUACGCGCUCUUUGACUUUUUCGUAGAUCUAAUUGAGAUACACAUGAUUGUCAAUUUUUGUGUCAAUAUGACAAAGCGUUCAGGCGUGACACUCAACAAUGUGUAUUUUUAUGUAAGGGGACAAGAAAAAAUUGACUUUUUUCUCCUACCAUGGGGGGGCGCUCUUUUGGGGAGUAAAAAUUCCUUCACAAAUGUGUUGAUGGCUGGACAUUGCAUCAUCCUAGAAAACUUGGAGGCCAGUGAGGACAAAAAUAAAAAGUUAUAAAACAUUUAAGAAUGUGGAUUUUUGGGUUAUUUUUGGCGCCCCCUAGAACCUAAACCAUGGGGUGCAGCAUCAUGAUUUGAAUAACUUUUAAUGGCCAUGGGGUGUAGAUUGGCCUGAGCAAAUGUGGUGCCGGUGGAACGAAAGCCUUCGGAGGAGUUAGCGAAAUUCCAAUGUGUGCGUAUCGGCAAAAAAUGCGGAAUAACCCUUUAACUGUACAUUUGACAGAUACGCGCGCAUGGACUUUUUUGUAGAUCUUAUUGAGUUACAUGUGUGUGUCAAUUUUUGUGUCAUUUUGACAAAGCGUAUAGGCUUGACACUCAACAAUGUGUAUUUUCACCUUAGGGGACAAGAAAAAAUGGACUUUUUUCUCCUGCCAUGGGGGGCGCUCUUUUGGGGAGUAAAAAUUCCUUCACAAAUGUGUUGAUGGCUGGACAUUGCAUCAUCCUAGAAAACUUGGAGGCCAGUGAGGACAAAAAUAAAAAGUUAUAAGACUUUUAAAUAUGUGGAUUUUAGUGUUAUCUUUGGCGCCCCCUAGAAUCUAAACCUUGGGGUGCAGCGUCAUGAUUUUGAUAACUUUUAAUGGCCACGGGGUGUAGAUUGGCCUGAGCAAAUGUGGUGCCGGUGGAACGAAAGCCUUCGGAGGAGUUAGCGAAAUUCCAAUGUGUGCGGAUCGGCAAAAAAUGCGAAAUAACCCUUUAACCGUAAUUUUGACAGAUACGGCCGCACUGACUUUUUUGUAGAUCUUAUUGAGAUACAUAUGUGUGUCAAUUUUUGUGUCAAUAUGACAAAGCGUACAGGCGUGACAGUCAAUAGUGUGAAUUUCCACCUUAGGGGGCGCUAUGGAGCCAUUUUGCAUUUUAUUGUUUGGGCGACUUCAGAAUAUCGAAUUUUUCACCAGGCCCGGUCGUCCUGCCAAAUUUCAUGAGUUUUCGCCAGUGGGAAGUGGGCCAUUUUCCAGUUCAAAGGGGAGGAAAAAGAAGAAAGAAAGAAACAAAGACUAGGGCCCCGUUGGGGCACUGGCGGGCCCGAGCCGUGUCACGCCGCCCCCAGCGCGACCGCCUCCCCCACCAGAUCGCGUCACACUCAAGGUCCAAAGAUGGUGUGCGCACUUGUUUGUGGUCAUUUACCAUUAUAAUG